CCGAGAAUAUUCGACAAUGGGCGAAAGCCUGAUCGAGCGACACCGCGUGAUGGAUGAAGUCCCUCUGGGACGUAAACAUCUUUUAUGAGGGAGAAAGUUUAUUGAUAGUACCUCACGAAUAAGGGGUUGCUAAACUCGUGCCAGCAGCAGCGGUAAUACGAGUGCCCCGAGCGUUAUCCGGAAUCAUUGGGCGUAAAGGGUGUGUAGGUGGCAGUGUUAGUCGGUUGUUAAAACCUGGGGCUCAACCCCAGAUCCGCGAUCGAAACGGCACAGCUAGAGGAUGGCAGGGAUGUAUGGAACUCAUGGAGUAGGGGUGAAAUCCGUUGAUAUCAUGGGGAACACCAAAAGCGAAGGCAGUACAUUGGGCCACUCCUGACACUGAAACACGAAAGCGUGGGUAGCGAAUGGGAUUAGAUACCCAUGUAGUCCCUGAGCGGGCUGGCAAGGCGCAU
rnacentral:rRNA from 1 species